GAACCGUCUAAGCAACAACGCGCAACCCGCCGGGGCGGACAGGAAGGCGGCGGGCGGGUAGGCAGGAAAACCGGAAGCCAUGAAGGCAGACACUCCGUCAGGUGCGAGCCGGAGGAGAAGUGGCGUCGGGAAGGGCGACGAGCCGCAGAGCAUCCACUUAUUUGCUGCAAGCAAGCAGUAACCACGGAGAUGGACAGCGAGUGCCAACAGCAACAGGGGGGCCUUGGCCAAAGAGAGCGCUACAUCUGGGAUCAGUCCCCGGCCCGUGGCUAUCAACUCCAUGUCGCUGUGUGAAAGGCAGGCGGUGCAGGUGUGUGCGCGCAUAUGGCGCACAAUGCAUUGCAUCCAAUUUACUGAUGCAUUAUGCCAACAAUGCCCCGCAGGCAGCCGCACGCUGCGCAGUACUUCCAGCAUCUGAUGUUGCAGCAGCCCGUCUACAAAGCGCAACUGCACAA